AAAGUCGUAACAAGGUUUCCGUAGGUGAACCUGCGGAAGGAUCAUUCAUAAUAAGUGUUUUAUGGCACUUUUUAAAAUCCAUAUCCACCUUGUGUGAAACGUUAUGGGAGGAAAGAAUAUAAGAAGGUAAAACUUUUUACAUUUUCUUCUCUCACAAUUUUAUAAACUCAUUUAAAACUUUCUGUCUGAAAACUAUUAUGAAUACUUAAUUCAAAAUACAACUUUCAACAACGGAUCUCUUGGCUCUC
rnacentral:misc_RNA from 1 species